AUAUACACCCAUACACUGUCGUUCUGAGCGCAUCGUCCACGCCCACCUGACGACUGCUCGCUAUGUUUUGUUAGCC
rnacentral:sRNA from 1 species